UUUUUGAAUGUUGUGGUAUUAUGUAUUAGUAACUGUAUUUUUAUUUUUAUUCUUAUUAAUACUCACUUUUGCAGCAUGUAUUUGAGGGAGUUGGGGUUGUUGGGGGUUAGGGAUUUGUGGUUGGUAAUGCUAGAGAAAUAGGUUGAUUAAGAUUCAUGUGGUUGCAACCGUAUAUAUUACUGUUACUAGAUUCUUCUAUGGAUAUGAAUGUUAUUUUGGUUAAUAGAGAUUGAUAUUUAAAUUUUGAAAAAGUGAUUUUCAAUACUAACAUCUAUUAAUAUUCUCUUCUGGUUAAAACUUUGAUUUUACAUUGUUCGUUUUCUCCAAAGAAAAACUUGUUACAGCAAGGGAGGUCCUAGCUGCUGGUCCUCAGCUAGGAAACUGUUAUUAUUACUCUAAUGCACUUUGCUAUUUAUUGUGAGCAAGUAGAGUUGGAGGUAUAUGUAGUGCCUUUUUAUUUAUUUAUUUAUUUAGAGCAUUGUUUUAUGUGAGGCAAAGGACAAUGAGUCCAAUAAAAAGUAAAAUCAAAGACAGUAAUUAGAAUAUGCUCCAUUCUCUUUUUCUAACAUGUUUUAUUUGUUCCCUGUUUUAUUGGCUUUGCGUUGAUUAUCUUCUUGUAGCUAAAUCAGCAGUUGUGAGUGUUGAAGUUUCCUUCUUAUUUUUGUGUUUUUAAUUUUGCUGCCCCAAUCCAUUUACUUCUUUAUCAUUCAUUUGACAGUUUAUGUGACAUGGAUUGUUUACUUUCUAGAUCUGUGGUUCUAUUUUACUUCUAUGAUGUAUGUUGAGUAAUGACGUGAAGAGCAUUUCAACAGCCUCAUAAUGGAGAGUCCAGAUUUCUCCCAUGAUGAAAUGUCUCAGCUGUCACUCAAAUCAAUGAACCUGACAGCUUGUAUGGGGUCAACCAGUCACACAAGGUUAGUCUAUAUUAUUUACCUUUCUGAAUGUCCUUAGAAGACCAUUGUUCUUUAGCAAGGUCUUGGAUGUGGGCAGAAGUGAUAGCUUUUACUUCAAUUUGUUGUUGCAAGUUAAGGUUAUGAAGGAGAGUCCAGCUACUUUUUCUGCCCUAACUUAUGCUCCUCGGAGGUCUGUUUCCAAGAGCCAAGAGCAGCCAGUAAUUGCUGGACCUCCUCCUCCUCCACCAGUGUCUGAGACACCGGUUUCCAGCAAAAAUGCUAAUGAAAACAGUAGUAAUAAGGAUUAUGAAGGUGUGCAGUUUGUUAUUGUUGACUUUUAUUUCUGUUAGUUAACUCACAUUAUGAUCUGCAUCAUGGUUGUUGUUGUUUACUCUGUAUGGGUGUAUUAAUCUAGUUAAUAUGUAUACUUUGAGUUUUAUGGCCAGUCAAAGGUUAUUCCAUCUACAAAAAAGGCCUCCCUUUGAAUGUCACACCUUCCCUACUAGAGAAUGAGUUCAAGAAGUUUAAUACAAUGUUUGAAUUUUCUGCCUCUUGAUGUCAAUUUAUUACAAAUCAUGCUUCAGAAUUUUCUGCAUCUUGGUUCAAGCUUGCGAAACAGUGUAAGAUAAGUUUUGGUGGUAUUCCACUUGAAUGGAACACAUAAUAGUCCUAAUAUCAGUUUUGUUUUCUGUUGUGGUAUUAGGCAAGAUAGUGGUGUCCUUAGCCAUUUCAUUAAAUUUGAAAAUGUAUAUCAGGUACUGCUUAAUUUCUCCAUCAUUUUCAAAUUUAUGUUUUCCUUUAAUUUCAGUGCAGAUGCCAAGUGUGUUGCUUAUGGCAGCAUUGCCCAAUUUUCCUAUAAUGAAUGCAGCCUAGGAAGUUGACAUUCACUACUACUUGAACUGCCAUGGGAAAAAUGGCGACUCUCUUGGUGGGAACUAGAUGGAGCAUGGGUGAGUUUAGUUGGGAUAUCAAGUAUGCUGUGGUUUAGACACUUGUGGUCAAGUUCUUAAUGCAAGGGAAAGUUGGUGGCUAUGCAUCAGUCUUUGAGAAGUACUAGGAGAAGGCAAAAUCCUUUAUGUGAGACCCUUUAAACAUUAGUACAUCAGGUUGUUUUGCAUUGAAAUAGAAUAAUAUUAAGAUUGGGAUUUUGAUCAUGCAUGGUUCUUGUACUGAUUCAUUUCUCUUUUUCUUCUUCUUCUUCUUCUUCUUCUUCUUCUUCCU